rnacentral:rRNA from 1 species
UCGAGAAUCUUCGGCAAUGGGCGCAAGCCUGACCGAGCGACGCCGCGUGGAGGACGAAGGCCUUCGGGUUGUAAACUCCUGUCGAGGGGGAAGAAGCCGCAAGGUUGACUGAUCCCUGGAGGAAGCACGGGCUAAGUUCGUGCCAGCAGCCGCGGUAAGACGAACCGUGCGAACGUUAUUCGGAAUCACUGGGCUUAAAGCGCGUGUAGGCGGACAGGCACGUCGGUCGUUGAAAGCCCCCGGCUCAACCGGGGAACGGGCGCCGAAACGACCUGUCUGGAGGGGCGUAGGGGGAGCUGGAACUUCCGGUGGAGCGGUGAAAUGCGUUGAGAUCGGAAGGAACGCCCGUGGCGAAAGCGAGCUCCUGGACGCCAUCUGACGCUGAGACGCGAAAGCCAGGGGAGCGAACGGG